CCUGCCGAAAUUCCCUCAGGAUAGCGGAGAUUCAUAAUUAAUUUUGCCAGGUAAAGCUAAUGAUUAGAGAUCUUGGAGGUGGAUAACCUUCAAUCUAUUCUCAAACUUUAAAUGGGCAAUAUCCGGGGCUUACUUAAUGGAAGUACCGGUUUAAUAAGAAUCUCUAGUGGGCCGUGGUUUGGUAAGCAGAUCAGGUAAAGCGGGUUCAACCGUAAACAAUAAGGAAAGGCGUCCAAUACCGGUUUAAUACUCAUUAAAGGGUGUUAAUUCAUGAAGACAGCGGGACGGUGGCCAUGGAAGUCGGUAUCCGCUAAGGAGUGUGUAACAACUCACCCGCCGAAUGAAUUAGCCCCGAAAAUGGAUGACGGCUAAGCCGGUAGCCGAUCCUUAGUCCCUCUUCUAGAUUUCUUGAAGAGGGGGUAGGCAGGCGUGAUGGUUGCAACGAAGCUCUUGGGUGACUGGGAGUGGAGCGGNCAUCAGUGCAGAUCUUGGUAGUAGUAGCAACCAUUCUUACGAGUUUCAACUUCUCCAUGAGCAAUCAUGGAUUCAGAAGCUUUGAAGGUCGUUGUGGACCAGGUUUCCUUACCUCUGGCGCUCAUGUAAGGGUUAGUCGGUCCUAACUCGGUGGUUAACACUAGAAAUAGUCCUAAAGCAGGAAUUACCGAGGAAAGGGAAUCAGGUUAAUAUUCCUGAACCCGAGUCAUGGAGGAUGCCUUCGGGUGUCAAGUCUGACGCGGCGACGCGGAGUGUGGAUUAGAGCCAUGUGCGUGGAGCUCCGGUAGAGUUAUCUCUUCUCCUUAAUAGCCAACACUUGAUCAUGAAGCCUCGGUGGAAUGGCGAGUGGCGAGUAACAGAGGAGUUGCGUGCAGCAGAGAUUCUGUUAUUUGCGGGUUAGAAGGGCAAGUCUUUAUGGCUUGUGAGGGUCUUCGCGUGCAUAAGUUAAAAUCUAAUUCAGCUCUGGACUCAAUCCUAUGACUCGGUCCGUACCGUAGUCCGCAUCAGGUGUCCGAGGCUAGCAGCCUCUGACCUAUUAGAGCAAUGUAGGUAAGGGAAGUCGGCAAAAUAGACUUGUUGCUUCGGUGGAAAGG
rnacentral:ncRNA from 1 species